AUUGCUUCUCGACAUUUUGGCUAAGAUCAAGUGUAGUAUCUGUUCUUAUCUUUAAUAUUUGAUAUGUCCUCUAUCCAAGGGCAAUAUAUUAAAUGGAUUUUUGGAGCAGGGAGAUAGAAUAGGAGUUUGCUCCAUCCACUCCACACACUGACUUGGUAUUGCAGUACCUCCAGGAAUGAUGCAACCCUC
ensembl:snRNA U2 U2 spliceosomal RNA